UACGAAGGGGGCUAGCGUUACUCGGAAUCACUGGGCGUAAAGGGUGCGUAGGCGGGUCUUUAAGUCAGGGGUGAAAUCCUGGAGCUCAACUCCAGAACUGCCUUUGAUACUGAGGAUCUUGAGUUCGGGAGAGGUGAGUGGAACUGCGAGUGUAGAGGUGAAAUUCGUAGAUAUUCGCAAGAACACCAGUGGCGAAGGCAGCUCUCUGGGACGGUACUGACGCUGAGACGCGAAAGCGUGGGGAGCGAACAGG
rnacentral:rRNA from 1 species